rnacentral:rRNA from 1 species
GAUGAACGCUGGCGGCGUGCCUAAUACAUGCAAGUCGAGCGAACGGACGAGAAGCUUGCUUCUCUGAUGUUAGCGGCGGACGGGUGAGUAACACGUGGAUAACCUACCUAUAAGACUGGGAUAACUUCGGGAAACCGGAGCUAAUACCGGAUAAUAUUCUGAACCGCAUGGUUCAAAAGUGAAAGACGGUCUUGCUGGCACUUAUAGAUGGAUCCGCGCUGCAUUAGCUAGUUGGUAAGGUAACGGCUUACCAAGGCAACGAUGCAUAGCCGACCUGAGAGGGUGAUCGGCCACACUGGAGCUGAGACACGGACCAGACUCCUACGGGAGGCAGCAGUAGGGAAUCUUCCGCAAUGGGCGAAAGCCUGACGGAGCAACGCCGCGUGAGUGAUGAAGGUCUUCGGAUCGUAAAACUCUGUUAUUAGGGAAGAACAUAUGUGUAAGUAACUGUGCACAUCUUGACGGUACCUAAUCAGAAAGCCACGGCUAACUACGUG